rnacentral:lncRNA from 10 species
GGGCCCAAUCCCGUUACAAGGACCACGGACUUCCGUUUCGUUCCGCCUGUAAGUCCCGCCUGGUCCCGCCUCCUCCUGAAAAGAGCUCAGUUGUCAAGGAACUAUUUUUCUUGCCGUCGUCCCAGAGAUGCCUUUGGAAAAGCGGAAGGGCACGGAGGGUUCUGGAGUUCGUUGCUGGCACCUGCGUGGUGUCAUGAGAACGUGGCGGGGCGAUUCACACUACAAGGAAUACUAAAGGACGUUCUCCACAUUGAAGGAAAAUGAUCUAAAGAGAAACAGAUCUGUAAGAAGAAAUGAAGAGCACUGGUAAAGGUAAAUGUAAAAUUAUUUAAGACUAAACUAUAUGUUUAAGUCAACAAUAGUUGUGAUAAUUAUAACAUAAUAAAAGUAAAAUUACAUAACAAUGGCAUAAUGGGGGGCAUGGAAUUAUAUUGUUUGCUAUAGUUUGGAAGUUUGUUCCCCUAAACCUCAUGUUGAAAUUUGAUCCCCAAUGUUGGAGGUGAGGCCUAAUGGGAGGUACUAUGAUCAUGGUUGCGGGAUCCCUCAUGAGUAAAGUAAUGCCCUCUUGGGACUGGGGAGCUCUUAUUAGUUCCUGUGAGAGCUGGUUGUUAGAAAGAGCAUGGCACCUCCCUCCUCUUCUCUUGCUUCCUCUCACCAUGUGAUCUCUGCACAUGCUAGCCUAGCUUCACCUUCUGCAAUGUGUGGAAACAGACUGAGGUCCUCACCAGAAGCAAAUGCUAGCACCAUGCUUCUUGGAGACCCUGCAGAACUGUGAGUCAAAUAAACCUUUUUCUUUAUAAAUUACCCAGCCUCAGAUAUUCCUUCACAGCAACACAAAAGGACUAAGACAUUAUUGUAAGGUUUUAGACAUUUUACACAUUGUAUAAGAUGUGGUGAAAUACUAAUUCAAAGCACAGACAGUCCCUGAUUACAGUGGUUUGACUUACAGUUUUUCAACUUUACAAUGUGUUCAUUGGGAUGAUUAAAUGCAUUUUCAACUUAACAAUAUUUUCGGCUUACAAUGGGCGUAUCGGGACAUAACCCCAUCAUAAGUUGAGGAACAUCUGUAGAUUAUAAUAAAUUAAACAUGCACAUAGCGAUCUAGAAUAACUAUUAAAAGAAAAUGCAAACAUAGGUAUAAC